CUGGACAGAAGUCACUGGAAGCAGAAUGAAAGCGAUGGCUCGUCUGACGCUCCUUCUUGUUCUGCUGUGGGUCGGUACCACAGUGAGCACAGUGGUGGAUGUGCACAAAAGAAUCGUUGGAGGUAAAAAGUGUAAUGACAAAGAGCUAUAAUCGGACCACGUCUGAGACUCCAGUGCCAUGACAUCAUGUUACUAAUAGAAAAAUUUAAAACAAAGGUUCAGCCUAUAAAACUUGGUGACUGCACAACAAAACCCCAACUGGCCUCAGUGCAGAUCGCAGGACAUGGCCCCACCAACGUGAACAGUAAAAAUUAAUUUGUACGCCAGAGAGUAGAUGAUCUUCAGUGUGCAGAUAUUAAAGUCGUUGCCUGUACUGACCUUGAUUACACUAUGUGGAACACACGGUCUACUGCUGACCACUGGUUCUGUGGUGAAGAUACUAAAGUGCAUGCAGCUCCUGGUGACUCUGGUGGAGGAGUCGUGUUCAAAGACAAGCUCUACGGUGUAAUCAGCUUCACCGGAAAUGAUACACAUGCAACUAUAGAAGCAUUUGGAUUCAUAGACCUUUGUUCUCAAGACUAUUUCAAAUGGAUACAAAGUGUUACCAUUCGAAAGAGAAAGUUAAGUCACUCUUAACUCACUCUGAGUUUAAAGGGGACAUGACACAUUAAACAUAGUUAUAAUAAUUUAAAGAAAGUCUCCCACACCAAAAAGAUUAUAUAUGUUUUAUCGCUAAUGGCCAAAGGAUUUUCAAAAUCUUACCAUUUAAGUUUCACUGUUAAAACACAGGACGUCGCCAUCACGAUUGUGUCGCCAGACGUGACAUCAUUGGAUUGGUCGGCUGACUUUGAAGACACACUGAGAAGCUGCAUGUACAUUGAAAAAAUGCAAACAAAUGGGAACAAGAGACCAAAAAGUUGAGCUGGCAAUUUAUUGAAAACAAUGAUUUAACUGAAAUAGGCUGUUCAUUGAUCAGCUGAUCAAAACUUUAAAGCCCUUUUUGCACGGGAGUAGUUUUACCAGGGGACCUCUGGUAAUUUCUAAUAAUGACAGAG